rnacentral:rRNA from 1 species
GUGGGGAAUAUUGGACAAUGGGCGAAAGCCUGAUCCAGCCAUGCCGCGUGUGUGAAGAAGGUCUUCGGAUUGUAAAGCACUUUAAGUUGGGAGGAAGGGCAGUAAGUUAAUACCUUGCUGUUUUGACGUUACCAACAGAAUAAGCACCGGCUAACUUCGUGCCAGCAGCCGCGGUAAUACGAAGGGUGCAAGCGUUAAUCGGAAUUACUGGGCGUAAAGCGCGCGUAGGUGGUUCAGCAAGUUGAAGGUGAAAUCCCCGGGCUCAACCUGGGAACUGCCUCCAAAACUACUGAGCUAGAGUACGGUAGAGGGUAGUGGAAUUUCCUGUGUAGUGGUGAAAUGCGUAGAUAUAGGAAGGAACACCAGUGGCGAAGGCGACUACCUGGACUGAUACUGACACUGAGGUGCGAAAGCGUGGGGAGCAAACAGGAUUAGAAACCCUUGUAGUCC